rnacentral:misc_RNA from 1 species
GUUAUAGCUUUGCUGUAACAUUAUCAAAGAGGGAAAUGAGCAUAUUAGUUUUGAAGUACUUGCCCGAAAGCAAAAUAUUGGGCCUAUUUCUCUCAUCUAGAACAAAUAUGUUUGUACUGUCUCCAACCAUAAAAAAAGGGAAACUGUAACCUUUUCCAUUUCAAAGAAAAGAGAAGACUUACUAAGCUAGCAUGAGAACAUUUUCUAACAUCAACUCUAUAAUGAGUACCUACAUGCCUACCAUUUAACUUACCGCAUCUUCUCCCGAUAUUGCACGCUCCU